GUCCAUGCCGUAAACGGUGGGCGCUAGGUGUAGGGGCUUCCACGUCUUCUGUGCCGUAGCUAACGCAUUAAGCGCCCCGCCUGGGGAGUACGGCCGCAAGGCUAAACUCAAAGGAAUUGACGGGGCCCGCACAAGCGGCGGAGCAUGUGGAUUAAUUCGAUGCAACGCGAAGAACCUUACCUGGGCUUGACAUGUACCGGAUCGGGCUAGAGAUAGUCUUUCCCUUGUGGUCGGUAUACAGGUGGUGCAUGGUUGUCGU
rnacentral:rRNA from 1 species